rnacentral:rRNA from 1 species
GAGUUUGAUCGUGGCUCAGAGCGAACGCUGGCGGCGUGCCUAACACAUGCAAGUCGAACGUGAAAGGGAGCAAUCCUGAGUAAAGUGGCGUACGGGUGAGUAACGCGUAGGUAAUCUACCCCAGAGUCUGGAAUAACCUGCCGAAAGGCGGGCUAAUACUGGAUAGAGCGACGGAAUCCGUAAUUGGGUUUUUCGGGAAAGGGAGCUCGCAAGAGCCUUUGCUUUGGGAUGAGCCUGCGUCUCAUUAGCUAGUUGGUGGGGUAAAGGCCCACCAAGGCUGUGAUGGGUAGCUGGUCUGAGAGGAUGAUCAGCCACACUGGAACUGAAACACGGUCCAGACUCCUACGGGAGGCAGCAGUGGGGAAUAUUGGACAAUGGGGGCAACCCUGAUCCAGCAAUGCCGCGUGAGUGAUGAAGGCCUUAGGGUUGUAAAGCUCUUUUGGCGGGGCGAUGAUGACGGUACCCGCAGAAUAAGCCCCGGCUAACUUCGUGCCAGCCGCCGCAGUAAU